rnacentral:rRNA from 1 species
AACGAACGCUGGCGGCAUGCCUAACACAUGCAAGUCGAACGAGACCUCCCUGUUUUGUUGCGCACGGGUGCGUACCGCGUGGGAACUUGCCCUUAGGUUCCGUACAACUCCCUGUAAGGGGUCCUAAUAACGGUUAAUGUCUUCGGACCUAAGAUCUAUCGCCGUUGGAUGGGCCCGCGUUGGCUUAGCCAGUUGGUAGGGUAAAAGCCUGCCAAGGCGACGAUCCAUAGCUGGUCUGAGAGCAUGACCAGCCACACUGGGACUGCGGCACGGCCCAGACUCCUACGGGGGGCAGCAGUGGUGAGUAUAGGAAGAUGAGCGAAAACGUGAUCAAGCCGUGCCGCGUGAGUCGUGAAGGCGUUAGGAUUGUGAAGCUGUUUUAGACGAGAUGUGAAUGACGGUACCGGGAGAAGAAGCACCGGCUAACUCCGUG